CGCAGCGUACAUGGGGAAGUGCUUAUCUGCAUUUGAUUAAAAUUUCCUGGUACGAUACGGUCGCCACCGUCUAGAAUUUAUAAUUUAUUUGGCUUACUUGGCAAUGUUAACUUAGCCCAUUGGGUUCGUUGAAUCAGUAAAAGAUAAACAUGCAACAAGUAUGUGACAUUAACAUAAAAAGUACAAAGAAACAUUUUGUUAUAAACAAUACUGUUUUACGUGUAUAAUACAAAAGUUAUAUCACAAUGUUUAAAAUAUCUGGAAAUAUGGAUAAAUGUGUCAUUUGUACGGAUUUUUAAUCAAAAUAUCGAACAAAUCUUUUUUAUUUAGAAAGGACGUUUUCAUUCACUAAAAUAAGUAUUUUAUCAAUAUAUGUACGUUUAUAUAAACGUUACGCAUAAACUCCGACAGUUUUGACAACCCUUUGAUAAUACCUUUCGUCACACAACAAAACACAAAGCUCGGAUAAUAUAAUCGCAUAUGAAAUACGUAUCACCCACCGUGGAGGUGGGUGAGAACCAGCCCAAUAAAAAAAAAAAAAAAA